rnacentral:rRNA from 1 species
AAACCGUUCAGGGGUAAACCUGAGAAACCCAAAAGAUCGAAUGGGGAGACUCAUCGUCAGCUGCGUUGGCUUGCGUGUGGCUCGCGAUGCUCGUUGGCGUUUCGGCGUUUUCAACGGGUACGCGGUCGCUGCGUUAUGUCCGAUGUUGGUCGGCGUGCACUUCUCCCCUAGUAGGACGUCGCGACCCGUUGGGUGUCGGUCUACGGCCCGCGAGGUUGACUGACGAGCCGCGUUCACGCGCGCGCUUGUCAGACCCGCGGUUGCCCGGCCGACUGCCCGGCGGUAAAGAUCGCUAUUCGAAUGGUAUCGAGCCGCAUUUUGAAUGCGUUCAUUAUGGCUCGUCGGCAGGUGAGCCUCGCUUGAAUUUUACGGACCUAGCGCCGUUGUCGAGUGCUUGUCGCUUGCCGUUUCGCCGACGAUGUCCUCGGACGGGCUCUUGUAACGCGCUUUCGAGCGCGUUUACCGGUCGGCGACGCUUCUGCUUUGGGUACUUUCAGGACCCGUCUUGAAACACGGACCAA